ensembl:lncRNA
CUGGACCCUGGAGGCGCACUGGAGGCCUGGUGCGUGGUGCCGGCACUGGUGGUACCGGGCUGGGGACACGCACCUCAGGGCGAGUGCGGGGAGGAGGAACAGGGCAUACUGGACCGUGGAUACGCAUUGGAGAUCCAGAACAUAGAGCUGGCUCAAUAUGUCCUGGCUGGAUGCCCAUUCUAGCCCGGCAAAUGCGAGGAGCUGGAAUAGAGCGCACCGGGCUAGAAUAGCGCACUGGAGACACCGCGCAUCUCUGCAUAACACGGUGCCUGACCAGUUACACGCUCCCCACGGUAAGCACGAGGAGUUGGCUCAGGUCUCCUACCUGACUCAGCCAAUCUCCUCGUGUGCCUCGCCCCCCCCCAAAAAAAUAUUGGGGCUGCCUCUCGGACUUCCGUGCUAGCCGUGUACCUUCAUAUGUUCCUCUAUUAUCCUGUAAUUCUCGUAGUAUCGCCGUUCCACUUUCGCUGCCUCUAACUCCUCCUUAGGACGGCGAUACUCCCCUGGCUGUGUCCAGGGUCCUGCUCCAUCUAAUAUCUCCUCCCAAGUCCAUCUCCCCAUUAAACUUACAUCAGUAUCUUCCUGCAAGACUAUGAAAUAUCAUCAUCAAUGACAUUGAACCCACAGAGGUAAGGAAGAUACCUCGUCAGUUGUUCAACUGAAAUGUGUCUUCCACAUUUAACCCAACCCCUCUGAAUCAGAGAGGUACAGGGGGCUGCCUUAAUCGACAUCCAUGUCAUCGGCACCUGGGGAAUAGUGGGUUAACUGCCUUGCUCAGGGGAAGAACGACAGAUUUUCACAUUGUCAGCUCUGUGAUUUGAUCCAGCAACUUUUCAGUAACUGGCCCAAUGCUCCUACCCACCAGGCUACCUAGUCACAUUGAUGAUGUUUUAUUUAUGGAGCCUGGUAUUUCCCAGGUUAUUGUUCAUUUUAUUUCAAUAAAAGUGUGUGUGUACGUACAGACAUAGAAGCCGCAGAGGUAUGGAACCUGGAACCUGCUAUUACCCUGUGGCACGGAAAUGUCCCAGCUCCAAGCAGGAGGGUUCUGUUUACUGCUCCAUGUCGUUUGUUGUUUUAGGAGAGACUGGUGUCGAGGUUUUAGGCUUUAAUAUAGAAUAAUUAGUGUUAAGAAGAGGUACAGAGGAAUGAGGGACUGGCUUAAAACCAUUAGCAUUUGCCAUAGAAUUACAACAUUAUGUUAAUCACAUUACUUUUAUAUCAGAAUGCAUUUCCUACAUUGGUAUUCACACUGUUUUUCUUAGAGGCAACAGAAUAGGGUUCUUAGAACUCUCAUGUGUCUGUGUGAAGGGAGAGAAGGCUCUGAGAUUUAACGUUGACAGUAGAUUUACGAUGGCUUGGUGAUAAGACAGCAUUCCAUUCCAUGAUUAGUGUCCGUGUGCCUGUCUGUCAGUACCAGGGAGACCCAAUCUCCAGUUUUUUUAAGGAAAGGACCUAGUGUCUAUGUUGCAUUAGUAUUUCUGUAUAAGCAAGCAGUAAAUGAACUAGAGACAGAUAUUUGGCGCCAUGUAAAUCCUGAUGUCUGUUGCAUGAGAGCAAAAUGUACCUUUGUAUAAAUUCUCUCAUCUGUGAUUUGUCUUGAACAUCCAGGAGGAUGGACUUUGAUAUAAAAUGCUUUGGCUUAGUCCUGCUGGUUGGGCUCUCAACGAAUC